GACCAAGAACUAUUAAAAAGUAGUGUUGUCAAAUUGUACAGUUUUGACUAAGCGGUUACUGGGACAACCUUUCGACCGAUUAACCGGUUAACCGGUUUUUGACCAACCCACUAGAAGGGUUUUAUGGAGUCGGGGGAGUCCAAAAACUAUAGAGACUCCAGUUGUAGAAGAACCAGCGACUAUAGCCUGGGAGUCAAAUGCUGGCAAGAGAUUAUUUUCGCCGGGUCCAUCUUUUGGAACCAUGGAAUCGUUCCUGGAUCUAGCUGUG